AGAAAGAUUUGCCUCUCGAGAAUCCUAUAAAAGGGCUUGGCCAAGCAAAAUUAUUCAUCAUCAUCAAUCUCACGCAAAUUUGGGGGCUAGGGUUUGUUCUUUUCCACCCGUGAAUCAUGUCGUCCAAGCAAGGUGGGAAAUUGAAGCCCUUGAAGCAACCCAAGUCCGACAAGAAGGACUACGAUGAGAAUGAUCUAGCAAAUCUUCAAAAGAAGAAAGACGAGGAAAAGGCACUGAAGGAACUGAGGGCCAAGGCUCAGAAGGGGGCACUCGGCGGUUCGGGGCUGAAGAAGAGCGGCGGAAAGAAAUGAGGGUGUUACACUCUUGUAACAUUGUGAUAAUGUUGAAUUACUUAUCUGGGUGUGAAUCUCAUUAGUUCUUAUGUGACCUUCGCUACUUCUCCAAGGUCUUCUUAUCCCCUAUCAAUGCUUAUGUGGGUGGUGCUUGUACCUCCAAAUUUACAUGGAAAACUGAUGUUGAUGCGAACUCUUUUAUGGUUUAUAUGAAAUGGUAAUUACUAUUGUGUUAUCUGGAA